rnacentral:rRNA from 1 species
GAGGAAUAUUGGUCAAUGGACGAGAGUCUGAACCAGCCAAGUAGCGUGAAGGAUGACUGCCCUAUGGGUUGUAAACUUCUUUUAUACGGGAAUAAAGUUAGCCACGUGUGGCUUUUUGUAUGUACCGUAUGAAUAAGGAUCGGCUAACUCCGUGCCAGCAGCCGCGGUAAUACGGAGGAUCCGAGCGUUAUCCGGAUUUAUUGGGUUUAAAGGGAGCGUAGGCGGGUUGUUAAGUCAGUUGUGAAAGUUUGCGGCUCAACCGUAAAAUUGCAGUUGAUACUGGCGACCUUGAGUGCAACAGAGGUAGGCGGAAUUCGUGGUGUAGCGGUGAAAUGCUUAGAUAUCACGAAGAACUCCGAUUGCGAAGGCAGCCUGCUGGACUGUAACUGACGCUGAUGCUCGAAAGUGUGGGUAUCAAACAGGAUUAGAUACCCUGGUAGUCCACACAGUAAACGAUGAAUACUCGCUGUUUGCGAUAUACAGUAAGCGGCCAAGCGAAAGCGUUAAGUAUUCCACCUGGGGAGUACGCCGGCAACGGUGAAACUCAAAGGAAUUGACGGGGGCCCGCACAAGCGGAGGAACAUGUGGUUUAAUUCGAUGAUACGCGAGGAACCUUACCCGGGCUUGAAUUGCAACUGAAUGAUGUGGAGACAUGUCAGCCGCAAGGCAGUUGUGAAGGUGCUGCAUGGUUGUCGUCAGCUCGUGCCGUGAGGUGUCGGCUUAAGUGCCAUAACGAGCGCAACCCUUAUCGAUAGUUACCAUCAGGUUAUGCUGGGGACUCUGUCGAGACUGCCGUCGUAAGAUGUGAGGAAGGUGGGGAUGACGUCAAAUCAGCACGGCCCUUACGUCCGGGGCUACACACGUGUUACAAUGGGGGGUACAGAAGGCAGCUACACGGCGACGUGAUGCUAAUCCCGAAAGCCUCUCUCAGUUCGGAUUGGAGUCUGCAACCCGACUCCAUGAAGCUGGAUUCGCUAGUAAUCGCGCAUCAGCCACGGCGCGGUGAAUACGUUCCCG